rnacentral:rRNA from 1 species
GAUGAACGCUGGCGGCGUGCCUAAUACAUGCAAGUCGAACGCAUAGCGAAAGGUUCUUGCACGUUUCCAGUGGGCGGCGAAGGGGGGAGUAAGACGGGGACAAGCUGCCUCAAGGCUGGGGAUAACAGUUGGAAACAGAUACUAAUACCGAAUAAAACUUACUGUCGCAUGACGCAAAGAUAAAAUGCGCUUCGGCGUAACCUCGAGAUGGAUCCGCGGUGCAUUGGUUAGUUGGUGGGGUAAAGGGCUACCAAGGCAAGGCUGCCUGGCCGAGUUGAGGGACGGAUAGGCGACAUGGGGACUUAGACACGCCCCAUACGCCUACGGGAGGCCGCAGUAGGCAAUCGUACGCAAUGGGCGAAAGCCUUAUGGAGCAACGCGGCGUGUGAGAUGAAGGCUUUCGGUGCGUAAAGAACGGUUGUAGGGGAAGAACAGCUAGAAUAUGAAAUGAUGCGUGUUUGACGGUACCAUACCAGAAAGCGACGGCUAAAUACGUG